rnacentral:rRNA from 1 species
CCUUACACAUGCAAGUCGAACGGCAGCACGGACUUCGGUCUGGNGGCGAGUGGNGAACGGGUGAGUAAUACAUCNNAACGUGCCUAGUAGUGGGGGAUAACUACUCGAAAGAGGGGCUAAUACCGCGUGANAUCUACGGAUGAAAGCGGGGGAUCGCAAGACCUUGUGCUACUAGAGCGGCUGAUGGCAGAUUAGGUAGUUGGUGGGAUAAAAGCUUACCAACCCCACNAUCUGUAUCUGGUCUGAGAGGAAGAUCAGCCACACUGGGACUGANACACGGCCCACACUCCUACGGGAGGCAGCAGUGGGGAAUUUUGGACAAUGGGCGCGCGCCUGAUCCAGCAAUGCCGCGUGCGGGAUGAAGGCCUUCGGUUUGUAAACUGCUUUUGUACGGAACGAAAAGCUNNGGGUUAAUACCCUGGGGUCAUGACGGUACCGNAAGAAUAAACACCNGCUANCUACGUGCCAGCCCCC